CCUUUUAUUUUAUUUUUUUUUACUGAGUACCUUUUAUUUACAGUGCCUAUUGUUCUGUUACCUAUUAUUGGUUCUCCCCAGACUGGCGAUUGGCUGAUGGCCCCGUCAAUCCCCAGGGGAAAGGACUAACUUUCAGACACCUCGGAAAAAUAUUACUGUGAGCCCCUUCUUGUUGAAAUGUAAGAUUCUGGAGAAAACCCAAGAGAUUCGGAUAAUGGUAUUAUUUCUUGUUGAAGAUGUUCACAAAGCAAGAGGCACAUGAUCUUACUUGGAGAAGGUGAAGAGAGUUCAGAUGACAUCCCUUCCCUGUUCUUCCUCCCAAGCAUAGUUCUGUGGACAAUUUUGGUGACCAUGAAGGGACUUGGAGCUGAUUUCUCUCUUUCUGCUGAGUUCUAUGAGGAUCCAAAGCCUUGGUACCAGCAAGGACCUCUUGUGCCCAUCCACCUCCACCAGGAGUUCAGACAACUGGACAGUUGUUCUUUUACUCUGAUGCCUUUACAAAAAUGAAGCUCUUCAAGAAAGUUAAUGGAAGACCUUUUGACAAGUGCAGAUUUCUGAUAACUGUCAGAUAAUACCACUGAACCAGGACACAAAUGGAAGCACUGGUUAUAUCACCAAGGCUUUGACUGAAAUGUGAGGUUUGAGAAUUACAUAAAAUCAGAUAUAACCAGACAACUUCCGAGAACUAAAAUGGACUUUAUGGAGACAUUUCCUUAGAAAAACAGACUAAUACCUUGCUCACAGAGUUCCCAGCAACCUCACCAGGUGACUAAGAAAGGUCACUUCCUGGCAGGUGUAAGAACCUCAAGAUAUUUGGGGGAAAUUCAGAAGAGAGAAAUUCACCCAAUUCUAUAAUUGUUACAGUCAGAUCUCAUGGCAAGUCUUUGGAAUGAUAUUCCUGGCCUCAGGAGGCUUUCAAUAGUCAAUCUAAGAUUCCUUAUAGAAGCAUUAUCAAAGCACAUUGACCAGAGUGUAAAUGAUCAACCGCCAGUCUUGUUAAACUAAUGUAAACAAUCAGGUCCAAUUUAUUGAAACUAGACUUACAUUGCAAAUAAAUUAGUCUUAA